GGUGAACGCUGGCGGCGUGCUUAAGACAUGCAAGUCGAACGAUCGUCUUCGGACGGUAGUGGCGCACGGGUGUGUAACGCGUAACUUACCUGCUACCAAGCCUCGCAUAACCCUCCGAAAGGCGGGCUAAUACGGGAUGUGCUGUCCCCUCCUGUGGGGCCAGUAAUGGCUUGUCCGCUUGGGGUUGGGGUUGCGUGCUAUCAGCUAGAUGUUGGGGUAAAGGCCUACCAUGGCAACGACGGAUUACCGGCCGGAGAGGUUGGUCGGUGACAGGGGCACUGAGACACGGGGACGACGCCGACGGGAGGCAGCAGGUAGGGAUCGAAGCCAAUGGACGAAAGUCUGAGGGAGCGACGCAGGGUGUGGGAUGGAGGAGGUCGGAUCGUAAAGCACAGAAACAGGGACGAAAGACACGGAAGCGUGAGGACGGAACCUAAGUAAUAGCACCGGCUAACUACGUG
rnacentral:rRNA from 1 species